rnacentral:snRNA from 1 species
AUACUUACCUGGUACGGGAGGCACCAUGAUCAGCAAGGCGGUCCUCCCAGGGUGAGGCCUUUCCAUUGCACUACUCGGAUUGGCUGACCCCUGCGAUCGCCCCAAAUGUGGGCGACUCGAGUACGUAAUUUUUUAGUGUGGGGGACUGCGUUCGCGCUAUCCCCUG